rnacentral:rRNA from 1 species
UACGUAGGGGGCUAGCGUUGUCCGGAAUCAUUGGGCGUAAAGAGCGUGUAGGCGGUCCGGUAAGUCCGUUGUGAAAGUCAGGGGGCUCAACCCUUGAAUGCCGGCGGAUACUGUCGGGCUAGAGUCCGGAAGAGGCGAGUGGAAUUCCCGGUGUAGCGGUGAAAUGCGCAGAUAUCGGGAGGAACACCAAUGGCGAAGGCAGCUCGCUGGGACGGUACUGACGCUGAGGGCGCGAAAAAGCGUGGGGGAGCAAACAGGG